CGAGACCGAGACCAAUCCAGCAGCCCUCGCAGGACUCCUCCUCGCCAGGGAAUAAAGUCCAGGAGCCCGUCCCUGCUCCGAUUUCUUUUCCGUGCAGCUUGAUAAGUAGCUCUCGAUCCUUCCUGUCGCCGAGACCGCAGCAGGCCGCCUCUGUUGUCGUCCCGGAGCACCCUCCGCCCACGCCGGAGUUCAUCCCACCAUCAUCGGAGUUUGCCCGUCUUCGCCGGAGCCGCCGUUAGUCGGAGAGUCACCGGAGAAGCACCACCGGAGGCACCACGUGGGAACUAACCCUUUUUCACUGUUGUUCGUGGUAAGCACGUGCACGUAAUCCGAUUCAUCCAAUCCGCGAAAUUGCUACAGUACCCGUAUUAUACCUAUUUUAAGUUGUGUUUAGAUCGGACAGAUUCUCGGUAAGAUUUUGAAACCUGUUUAACUUUUUACUCGUAACUCCGAAUCAGGAAAUUCUUUUUCCUGUGAUCUCGUAAUGAUGAGAAGAACAUGAUAGCACUAAUAUUUUUCAGGUUUGUGAUAUUUGAAAAUUUAGUUUGAUCAGAUUUAAUUUAAACCUACCAAAGGCCAUAUUUUGUAAACUGUUCGUCUAAUUUAAUUAAUUCUUUUUCUUUAUGCUACCACUAGCAUGUAGAUAAUAAAUACCUACUCGUAUGUUUCUGUUAGUUGAGUUUUCAUUAAAUUCUUUGUUGUUGACUUUAUUUUGAUGUUAUGUGAGUACGGUUUAUUUAUCGAUGCAUUCGUCGAAUAUAUAUAGAUUGUCCGGAGUGUGGAGCGGAUCAUAAUUAAGCGUUAGAGUACUUCAACACCGUUCAAGGCAAGUUUGCACUUUUGAUUAUGCUCAUCCUAUAUGUAUGUUUUGCAUUGUUAUGAUAUGUUAUGUGUUUGGUG
rnacentral:lncRNA from 1 species